rnacentral:sRNA from 1 species
AGCAAGUUACACCUAAUUUUCACUUUUGCUCUGUUGUAUUCAAUCCACUGUUAUAAUUUUUUCAUACAUGUAAAAUUAUUAUAUGAUUUGCCAUCUUUAAAAUCCCUCUGGCAUGGAAAACACUUCUUUGGGAAUCAAGGGAGGGGUGUUAUUUAAUUUUAAGAAAUAUACCUAUACUCAUGAAGAACUUACUUCCAAGUCAAUAAAAAGUUUUUAGAUCAAGUUUUUAAUGCAAAAGAUAUUUUGGUCCAUCGAACUUUGUUCAAUUGCUCCUAAGAUAUUUGGCCGUUCCCUUGAUUUGGUGCUAAUAAGGGUUUUAAUUAGAUUCUUACGUAAAAUAUUUAACAUAUAUUUUGGUUGGUGUAUCUAUGAAAGCAGUAAGAAUGUUCACCUUUGUUACUGAUUUCAUCCCAGUUAAAUGAGUAACAUAACAUUCCAAAGAGUCGAGAGAAACCAAGAAUCCGUGUCAAAGGAAAUCAAAUCCAAGUACCUGGAAUAGGUCUAGCAUUCAAACCCUCUCAAGAUGCAGAUUAAGUCAUUACCAAGAGUCCAUUGUAUGCGACAUUUGCAAAUAUGUUUUUGGCUAUCACUCAUAUCAUUUAUGUACCAAUUGAGCCCCUUUGUGUUUAGAUAUAUAUAUUUUUUCUUCACCUCCAUAUAUUGUCAUAUACUGCAUAGUAAUUAAUUGUCUGUGAUUUAACAAUCAGUGAUCAUCUGCUAUAAUAUUGUGUUAAUUGAUGUUGUUGAUAUGUGAGUUUACCGUAGAUUUUUUUUCUCGGCGGUUGUUGUAUAUUUGGCAGAUUUCACUUGCAUUGUGUAUGGUGAAUGUAUCUGUAAUCAGGGUGUUUGUGAUAUGGAUUGUGUGAUUUAUAAAUUAUAAAAAUUUUUGUAAAGUGUGUGAUGGACGCUGAAAUAACAGGUGUCCCAAGAUCAGGGGAAUAUUGGCUUCUUGCUUAUGAUCAGUAUAUUUUUCGUUUCGGGAAAAAAUAAUUUUUCUUAGAGGUUAGGAUGCACCAAAUUGAUAUGAAUUGUAUGAAUCUGUCUUAAUAUGAGUAAAUGUGUGCUACUAUAAGUUUGAAAGGUCAAAUUUUUUUUGAUAUUGUCUGAGUCAUCCAAAUGUUUGUGUCUACAUUUUCAUCAUCAGGUAAACACAAACAUCAGCAUGAUGCAGACUAGAUUGCUUGUACACUACAGGCGAAUAUAUCAAUUGUAUAUUUAUGUAGCAAAUUAUAGACUGUGCUUGUGGAGUGAGUGAGAUUGAUAGAGUAAAAGUAGAGAGAUGGAGAAAAUGAAUUCAAAUUUAAUUUAUUUGAUACUCUUUGUCAAUGUUGAAGUAUUUACCAAUAUUUGAUAUUGUGCAAUUAUAUAUACAUAUAUUACAUAUACACAAUGUAUGUGUUAUGACAUAUUUGUAUGUGUUCAAUAAAUAUUGUUUUCUAAC